rnacentral:rRNA from 1 species
AAGACCUUGCGCUUUUGGAGCGGCCGAUGUCUGAUUAGCUUGUUGGUGAGGUAAAAGCUUACCAAGGCUUCGAUCAGUAGCUGGUCUGAGAGGACGGCCAGCCACACUGGGACUGAAACACGGCCCAGACUCCUACGGGAGGCAGCAGUGGGGAAUUUUGGACAAUGGGGGCAACCCUGAUCCAGCCAUGCCGCGUGAGUGAAGAAGGCCUUCGGGUUGUAAAGCUCUUUCAGCCGGAACGAAACGGUUACGGUUAAUACCCGUGACUACUGACGGUACCGGAAGAAGAAGCACCGGCUAACUACGUGCCAGCAGCCGCGGUAAUACGUAGGGUGCAAGCGUUAAUCGGAAUUACUGGGCGUAAAGCGUGCGCAGGUGGUUUUGUAAGUCAGAUGUGAAAUCCCCGGGCUUAACCUGGGAACU